rnacentral:rRNA from 1 species
UACGUAGGGGGCAAGCGUUGUCCGGAUUUAUUGGGCGUAAAGAGCUCGUAGGCAGUUCCGUAAGUCGGGUGUGAAAAAUCUGGGCUCAACCCAGUGGAGCACCCGAUACUGCGGUGACUCGAGUCCGGUAGGGGAGUGUGGAAUUCCUGGUGUAGCGGUGAAAUGCGCAGAUAUCAGGAGGAACACCGGUGGCGAAGGCGGGUCUCUGGGCCGAUACUGACGCUGAGGAGCGAAAGCGUGGGGAGCAAACAGG